AGCUUUGCGCAGUGGCAGUAUCGUAGCCAAUGAGGUUUAUCUGAGGCGCGAUUAUUGCUAAUUGAAAACUUUUCCCAAUACCCCGCCAUGACGACUUGAAAUAUAGUCGGCAUUGGCAAUUUUUUUUU
rnacentral:snRNA from 1 species